GAAAUGCGAUAAGUAAUGUGAAUUGCAGAAUUCAUUGAAUCAUCGAAUCUUUGAACGCACAUUGCGCCCGUCAGCAUUCUGGCGGGCAUGCCUGUUCGAGCGUCAUUUCAACCCUCAGGACCCCCCUUUCGCGGGGAGGGACCUGGCGUUGGGGAUCGGCCCGCCCCCCGCGGCGGCGCCGUCCCCGAAAUCUAGUGGCGGUCUCGCUGCAGCCUCCCCUGCGUAGUAGUUACAACCUCGCAUCGGAGCGCGGCGCGGCCACGCCGUAAAACCCCCGACUUUCUGAACGUUGACCUCGGAUCAGGUAGGAAUACCCGCUGAACUUAAGC
rnacentral:misc_RNA from 1 species